AUUCUCGUUUUUUUUUUUUUUAGACCCAGCCAUGUUUGGGUACAUCGAAACAAAUAAUUAUUGCACAAGUUUGACGGUGAAUAUCUUCUGAACGGUUAAUAUAAUCGACUAAUCAUAAAAGACCAUUAUUGUAAAGAACAGGGUCAACUUCCUCUUGAGCCACAGAAAAAAAAAAUAUGCAACAAUCUACCCCGGGGCCGCAACUUCUUGCCCCAGACCGGG
rnacentral:lncRNA from 1 species